UAAACUAGACGUGCCGUAUCUUCAUUAGU
rnacentral:sRNA from 1 species